AACGAACGCUGGCGGCGUACUUAACACAUGCAAGUCGAACGCGAAAGUCACCUUCGGGUGGCGAGUAGAGUGGCGCACGGGUGAGUAACGCGUAAAUAAUCUACCCUUAUAUCUGGGAUAACAUUGGGAAACUGGUGCUAAUACCGGAUACAGAGAUAACGCGAGUUAAUUCAAGGAAAGGUGACCUCUUCUUGAAAGUUGCCGUAUAAGGACGAGUUUGCGUACCAUUAGCUAGUUGGUGGGGUAAAGGCCUACCAAGGCAUCGAUGGUUAGCGGGUCUGAGAGGAUGAUCCGCCACACUGGAACUGGAACACGGACCAGACUCCUACGGGAGGCAGCAGUGAGGAAUAUUGCGCAAUGGGGGAAACCCUGACGCAGUGACGCCGCGUGAGUGAAGAAGGUCUUCGGGUCGUAAAGCUCUGUCAGGUGGGAAGAAAUGCUUUAUGGUUAAUACCCAUAGAGUUUGACGGUACCACCAAAGGAAGCACCGGCUAAAUCCGUGCCAGCAGCCGCGGUAAUACGGAUGGUGCGAGCGUUGUUCGGAAUCACUGGGCGUAAAGGGCGCGUAGGUGGUUAGAUAAGUUGGAUGUGAAAGCCCCGGGCUUAACCUGGGAACUGCAUUCAAAACUGUCUAGCUAGAGUACGAUAGAGGGGGGUAGAAUUUCAGGUGUAGCGGUGAAAUGCGUAGAGAUCUGAAGGAAUACCAGUGGCGAAGGCGGCCCCCUGGAUUGAUACUGACACUGAGGUGCGAAAGCGUGGGUAGCAAACAGGAUUAGAUACCCUGGUAGUCCAUGCCGUAAACGAUGUCAACUAGCCGUUGGAAGACUUGAUCUUUUAGUGGCGCAGCUAACGCAAUAAGUUGACCGCCUGGGGAGUACGGCCGCAAGGUUAAAACUCAAAUGAAUUGACGGGGGCCCGCACAAGCGGUGGAGCAUGUGGUUUAAUUCGAUGCAAUGUGAAGAACCUUACCUACUCUUGACAUCCUCAGAACUUAGCAGAGAUGCUUUGGUGCCUUCGGGAACUGAGUGACAGGUGCUGCAUGGCUGUCGUCAGCUCGUGUUGUGAAAUGUUGGGUUAAGUCCCGUAACGAGCGCAACCCUUGUCCUUAUUUGCCAGCACGUAAUGGUGGGAACUUUAAGAGACUGCCGGUGACAAACCGGAGGAAGGUGGGGAUGACGUCAAGUCAUCAUGGCCCUUAUGGGUAGGGCUACACACGUGCUACAAUGGUCGGUACAGAGGGCAGCAACCCCGCGAGGGUGAGCGAAUCUCACAAAACCGGUCGUAGUCCGGAUUGGAGUCUGCAACUCGACUCCAUGAAGUCGGAAUCGCUAGUAAUCGCAGAUCAGAAUGCUGCGGUGAAUACGUUCCCGGGCCUUGUACACACCGCCCGUCACACCAUGGGAGUUGGUUGUACCAGAAGUCGCUAGUCUAACCUUCGGGAGGACGGCGCCCACGGUAUGGUCAAUGACUGGGGUG
rnacentral:rRNA from 1 species